rnacentral:rRNA from 1 species
AACGAACGCUGGCGGCAGGCUUAACACAUGCAAGUUGAACGGGAUUUGUGUGGUGCUUGCACCAUAUAAUGAGAGUAGCGCACUGGUGAGUAACACGUGGGAACGUACCUUUUGGUGGGGGACAACAUCUGGAAACGGAUGCUAAUACCGCAUAAGACCUGAGGGUGAAAGAUUUAUCGCCGAAAGAACGGCCCGCGGAAGAUUAGGCAGUUGGUGGGGUAAAGGCCUACCAAACCUACGAUCUAUAGCUGGUCUGAGAGGACGAUCAGCCACACUGGAACUGAGACACGGUCCAG